UGCAUGUACGAAACAAAAAACAAAACAAACUUGACUCGAGAAAGGGAGGAAGCAAGCAAACCAUUUCUCUUCCAAUAUUUUUUUUCUUUUUCUUUCUUUCCUGAAAACGCACCUGUAUUCGGAAUAGACGGGAAGGAA
rnacentral:ribozyme from 1 species